rnacentral:rRNA from 1 species
AUACGUAGGGGGCGAGCGUUGUCCGGAAUGAUUGGGCGUAAAGGGCGCGUAGGCGGCCUGUUAAGUCUGGAGUGAAAGUCCUGUUUUCAAGAUGGGAAUUGCUUUGGAUACUGAUGGGCUUGAGUGCAGGAGAGGUUAUCGGAAUUCCCGGUGUAGCGGUGAAAUGCGUAGAGAUCGGGAGGAACACCAGUGGCGAAGGCGAUCUAUUGGCGGAAAACUGACGCUUGGGCCGGAAAGCGGGGGGAGCAAACAGAAUUAGUAACCCGGGUGGUCCACGCCUUAAACGAUGAAUACUAGGUGUGGGGGGACUGACCCCCUCCGUGCCGCAGUUAACACAAUAAGUAUUCCGCCUGGGGAGUACGGCCGCAAGGUUGAAACUCAAAUGAAUUGACGGGG